AGUCAUACUAUACUGAAAUUACAUAGACGUCGCGGAUCUUUUAUGUAUACGAAUAUCUAAGAGACUAAAGAGUAUGGCUACUUUAGUGAUUUUCUGUUUUUUUUUUUUUUUUGUCAUUGAAUUGUAUUAUUAAACCUUUAAGGCAAAAAGUUCUAAACAAUGAGAACCAGAAAAACAACAUAGAAAAAAGAUACACUAGUAGGGAUCCAAAAUAAACUAACACAUCUAUUUUGCGUAUGGAUAACUCCAUAUUUGCUUCUGGAAUAGACGAACCUCAGAGGAGAUAAUCUUCAUAAUAAUUCAAAAGCACCACGCUUCAGAGUGAGUUAAAAACGAUUGUCAUUCUCUUUUUAUUACUCCAGUAAAAGCCACCGAGAUAAGACAACUCUCUAUUUUGCUCUAUUAUCAGAGUCAAAGAGAUUACCGUUCCAUAGAAUUUCAUGCUGCCUUUCGAAGUAACCAUAGUUUGCAGUAAGAACUCCAUCACCAUCGAAUGAAGAAUCAUCAACGAUUGAAGCCGGUAAGACCCGUCGCUACCAUCCGCAGUAAAUCUGUCAAUUAACUUUUCUAAACAGUUCAACUGAACCGAAAAUUUUGUCUUUCCAAACCAAUUGGAAGAAGCAUACAAAAGAAUUGCCAGAUUCAAAAUAAAUUGACAAUAAAAUAGCGAUUGGAAACAAAAUAGAUUCAAGAAAGAGAUGCAAAACGAAUUAAACAAGCCGAUGUCGGAGCUGAAGAAGCCUCCGAUCAUCGGCUUGAAACUUUGAAAAAUCUCUUUUUUCUCUCUUGACGGCUAGGGUUUCUCUCUCUUAAUGAGGUAAUCUUCUAGUGAUUUUCUGUUUGAAACGAAGGAAAAAUCGUAACGGUAGGGAAAAUAAAAAUUGAAAGUUCAAACAAAUUCAGUAAAUAUGUUAAAUUCAGAUUAGUAAAUAGGGGACUACAUAAUACAGUGGUUUAACGUAGAUCUCUCAGUCCCAAGACAAUCCUCUCUUCGUCUGAAGAAGCAGCCACUGAAAAGCAGCAAGUUUCCGACUUCGGAUCUGGGUGGAUUGUUAUCAGACUUUUUCCUCAAACCUCAUGAUCGCAAGGCCUUUGAUUUGUCCAAGUUUGUUUGGGGGAGCUGAUGUGAUGGCUUUGGAUUCAGCUAUGAAAUCUAAUGGCAAGUCCAAGAAUGCUUCUCCAUGACUAGUUUUACUAACAUCAAUAAUAGACUUCUUCACCUACUGAGAAGACUCAUUUUAUCAGUUGGUGAAGAAAUCUAUUAGCUUUGAUGUUAGUAUAAGCCAACUCAUAGAGAAGCUUAGGGGUUUGAGAAAAAGUUUAAAAACAAUAUUGGUAAAGUGAAGAAUGGAGAGGAGCUGACAUUCUUCAAACCUCAUGAUUGCAAGCCUUAGUUUGUAUUGUCCAAGUUUGUUUAUGGAGUAAGUUUGGAUUCAGCUGUCAAAUUUAAAGGUAAGUACAAGAAGAGCCAUAAGCUAAUGCCAUCUUCUCCUAAUGGUAGAAACUGUGAAGACGAGGUGGUGAAUACUAAUAAAGGAGAAGCAUGGAGUCUCGUAUGAGUUUGUGAAGUCUGUUCUUUUUAAAUCACUAGAAUGUUUUGGUGUGGAUGAUCUUUCUGCUCAGAAAGGUUGGAGUAGGCUUGCCUCAGAGAAUAAGAAGAGAUUCGAGAAGCAGUGGAAAGUGUUGCAGCUAAGGGAGCUUGAAUUCUACUCCCUGAAGAGUGGUUUCAUUCAUGAGGUAGUAACAAAGAUGGCCGCAGCAUUUCGAUUUUCUUGCCUCUCUGCCUCUUUUUCCUUGAAGAGUUCAUUUUUGAAUAUUUGUCGAUUUAUUAAUGUCAAGGAAGCAAGUUUUGACUAGUGAAGCAAUAUAAGUGCUAUGAUGUUAGUUUUAUACACUCGCAAAACAUAAUUGCGUUGAAAAAGCAGGAUCAUGCGCCUCUUCUAUUUGCUGGAUCUUCUUGUUUCACAUUCUCUUUGUCUUCUUUACUAGCAGCAAGGGCUGAAACAUAAAAUGCUGAAGUCACCAGUCCAUGUGCUAGACAAAAUAUGCCUCCAAUCAGGAAGAGCCAACGACUCCGCAAGCUGCAGUAUCUAUUCGAUCUUGAGUUAGCCAAUGUUCCUACCAUCAGCGUCGAGUAGCUCACAGCAAAAAAGAUCCUAAGAAAAAUAGUGAGUUAAUUGAAAAUCCAAACUUGUGUUUUGAGUUUCAUAUUUUUUUGCAGUUUACCAGGAGAGCACAAAGAAAGUCACUGCGAGUAUCUUGUUGGCCGUUGCUCUCUUGAUAUCAUGCUUCGAGCGAAUGUAAGCGUAGCCUCCAAGCACGUUGGCAGUGACAUGGACGAUAGACAGAAGCACCAAUGCAGCUACUCCCUCAGCAAAAGCUCCAGAGCUUUGGUUUCUGCAAUGUUGUUCAUGAUCAUGGUGAUGUUGCUGCUGUUUAUUUAAAGGAGAAACAUCAACACACAAGAAAUAUUAGUUUGGUAAUGUAAAAUAAACUCUCUUUCAAUCAUGUGGUCGUAAAGACUAUAGAACCUUGUUCUGAUCAAUCUCAGCUUCAAUCCCAAGGACUCCAGCUGAAAUGUCUGCACAUAUGAUCAGAACAGAAAUCAAGAAGCUAAGUUCACUUUCCAUUUUUUCUCUCUCUUAAUUCAUAAGUACAUAUUUUUAUUUUUGUGAUUACUGUCUAUAUUUCCAUUGUUGUAUGAAAGUUUGAUAGGAAGAAGCAAAGAAUCAGAUCACUUUCUUAA